GCCUACGGCCAUACCACCCUGAAUGUGCCCACUCUCAUUUGGUCUCAGAAGCUAAGCAGGGUCAGGCCUGGUUAGUGCUUGGGUGGAAGACA
rnacentral:rRNA from 1 species